ACAUACCUCCCUCACGCUCAGGA
rnacentral:siRNA from 1 species